UGCCGGCGACCGGCGGACGGGUGCGUAACGCGUAUGUAACCUACCUUUGACGAGGGGGAUAACAUCGAAGAAAUUGGUACUAAUACCCCAUAACAUCACCGGAGGCAUCUUCGGUGGUUAGAAAACUCAGGUGGUCAGAGAUGGACAUGCGUUGUAUUAGCUAGUUGGUGAGGUAACGGCUCACCAAGGCGACGAUACAGUAGGGGACUGAGAGGUCAACCCCCCACAUUGGUACUGAGACACGGACCAAACUCCUACGGAAGGCAGCAG
rnacentral:rRNA from 1 species